AUGGAAUGAGAUUUCGGUCAAAUGAAGUUGAGGACAGUGGCGGACGGGUGAGUAACGCGUGAGGAACCUGCCUUUCAGAGGGGGACAACAGUUGGAAACGACUGCUAAUACCGCAUAACACAUUGAGGUCGCAUGGCCUUGAUGUCAAAGAUUUAUCGCUGAAAGAUGGCCUCGCGUCUGAUUAGCUAGUUGGUGAGGUAACGGCCCACCAAGGCGACGAUCAGUAGCCGGACUGAGAGGUUGAACGGCCACAUUGGGACUGAGAUACGGCCCAGACUCCUACGGGAGGCAGCAGUGGGGAAUAUUGGGCAAUGGGCGCAAGCCUGACCCAGCAACGCCGCGUGAAGGAAGAAGGCUUUCGGGUUGUAAACUUCUUUUGCAAGGGAAGAGAAGAAGACGGUACCUUGUGAAUAAGCCACGGCUAACUACGUGCCAGCAGCCGCGGUAAUACGUAGGUGGCAAGCGUUGUCCGGAUUUACUGGGUGUAAAGGGCGUGUAGCCGGGUCGGUAAGUCAGAUGUGAAAUCUAUGAGCUCAACUCAUAAACUGCAUUUGAAACUGCUGAUCUUGAGUAUCGGAGAGGCAAUCGGAAUUCCUAGUGUAGCGGUGAAAUGCGUAGAUAUUAGGAGGAACACCAGUGGGCGAAAGCGGAUUGCUGGACGACAACUGACGGUGAGGCGCGAAAGCGUGGGGAGCAAAC
rnacentral:rRNA from 1 species